rnacentral:lncRNA from 1 species
AAAGAGAUAUCUGUUUAUCUCUUCAUUCAUAAUGAAGAAACAUCCAAUGAUGGAUUAGAUUCAUAAUCUAAUACUUUUACGCUUCCAUUACGUUACUCUAAUUCUUCCUCGAUCUUUGAGGAAUUUAUCCUUUAGUAUUUCUUAAAUACUUAAGGACUCACUUGACAGUUGCCAUGGUUCUGAUCCUGGGCUUGCACUGAUAUUGUCUUGUACCGUUUUAGGUACAACUCAUAUCAAUGUUUUUCAUACAA